rnacentral:rRNA from 1 species
UACGUAGGAGGCGAGCGUUGUCCGGAUUUACUGGGCGUAAAGCGCGCGCAGGCGGCAUACCAAGUACGGUGUGAAAUCUCCCUGCUCAACGGGGGAGUAUGCAUUGUAAACUGGUAAGCUAGAGGACGGUAGAGGGGGGUAGAAUUGCUGGUGUAGCGGUGAAAUGCGUAGAGAUCAGCAGGAAUACCCGUGGCGAAGGCGGCCCCCUGGGCCGAACCUGACGCUGAGGCGCGAAGGCUAGGGGAGCGAACGGG